rnacentral:SRP_RNA from 1 species
GCCAGGUGUGGUAGAGCACACCUGUAAUCUCAGCUACUUGGGAGGCUGAGGCAGGAGAAUUGCUUGAACCCAGGAGGUGGAGGUUACAGUGAGCUGAGAUCGUGCCACUGCACUCCAGCCUGGGUGACACAGUGAGACUCUGCCUCAA